UUGAACGCUGGCGGCAUGCUUUACACAUGCAAGUCGAGCGGCAGCGCGGGGCAACCUGGCGGCGAGCGGCGAACGGGUGAGUAACACAUCGGAACAUACCCAGUCGUGGGGGAUAACACUUCGAAAGAAGUGCUAAUACCGCAUACGUCCUGAGGGAGAAAGCGGGGGAUCUUCGGACCUCGCGCGAUUGGAGUGGCCGAUGUCAGAUUAGCUAGUUGGUGGGGUAAAGGCCUACCAAGGCGACGAUCUGUAGCUGGUCUGAGAGGACGACCAGCCACACUGGGACUGAGACACGGCCCAGACUCCUACGGGAGGCAGCAGUGGGGAAUUUUGGACAAUGGGGGCAACCCUGAUCCAGCCAUUCCGCGUGAGUGAAGAAGGCCUUCGGGUUGUAAAGCUCUUUCGGCAGGAACGAAACGGCGCGCUCUAACAUAGCGCGUUAAUGACGGUACCUGAAGAAGAAGCACCGGCUAACUACGU
rnacentral:rRNA from 1 species